UACGUAGGGCGCGAGCGUUGUCCGGAUUUAUUGGGCGUAAAGAGCUCGUAGGCGGUUUGUCGCGUCUGCUGUGAAAGCCCGGGGCUCAACCCCGGGUCUGCAGUGGGUACGGGCAGACUAGAGUGCAGUAGGGGAGACUGGAAUUCCUGGUGUAGCGGUGAAAUGCGCAGAUAUCAGGAGGAACACCGAUGGCGAAGGCAGGUCUCUGGGCUGUAACUGACGCUGAGGAGCGAAAGCAUGGGGAGCGAACAGG
rnacentral:rRNA from 1 species